rnacentral:rRNA from 1 species
UACGAAGGGGGCUAGCGUUGUUCGGAUUUACUGGGCGUAAAGCGCACGUAGGCGGAUCGAUCAGUCAGGGGUGAAAUCCCAGGGCUCAACCCUGGAACUGCCUUUGAUACUGUCGAUCUGGAGUAUGGAAGAGGUGAGUGGAAUUCCGAGUGUAGAGGUGAAAUUCGUAGAUAUUCGGAGGAACACCAGUGGCGAAGGCGGCUCACUGGCUCAUUACUGACGCUCAGGCGCGAAAGCGUGGGGAGCAAACAGG